UGGAAAGCCUGGGAGCUGAAUUCCGGAAGAUCCCCACAUCGAUGAAAGCAAAGCGAAGCCACCAAGCCGUCAUCAUGUCCACGUCGCUACGAGUCAGCCCAUCCAUCCAUGGCUACCACUUCGACACAGCCUCUCGUAAGAAAGCCGUGGGCAACAUCUUUGAAAACACAGACCAAGAAUCACUAGAAAGGCUCUUCAGAAACUCUGGAGACAAGAAAGCAGAGGAGAGAGCCAAGAUCAUUUUUGCCAUAGAUCAAGAUGUGGAGGAGAAAACGCGUGCCCUGAUGGCCUUGAAGAAGAGGACAAAAGACAAGCUUUUCCAGUUUCUGAAACUGCGGAAAUAUUCCAUCAAAGUUCACUGAAGAGAAGAGGAUGGAUAAGGACGUUAUCCAAGAAUGGACAUUCAAAGACCAAGUGAGUUUGUGAGAUUCUAACAGAUGCAGCAUUUUGCUGCUACCUUACAAGCUUCUCUUCUGUCAGGACUCCAGAGGCUGGAAAGGGACCGGGACUGGAAAGGGACCAGGACUGAACAGACUGGUUACAAAGACUCCAAACAAUUUCAUGCCCUGUGCUGUUACAGAGGAGAACAAAAUGCUUUCAGCAAGGAUUUGAAAACUCUUCCGUCCCUGCAGGAAAGGAUUGAUGCUGAUAGAAGAGCCUGGACAGAUGUAAUGAGAACUAAAGAAAACAGAUGGCUGGAGAUGACAUUUAUCCAGGGUCACUUUGUCAGGCCCUAGGACUUAAAUCGAAGUUGAACUUUUUUUUUUUUUUUUAACCAAAUAGAUAGGGGAAGGGAGGAGGGAGAGGGAGGACAGGGAGAGAAAAUACCAUGCAUAAAUUGUUUACUGAAUUUUUAUAUCUGAGUGUUCAAAAUAUUUCCAAGCCUGAGUAUUGUCUAUUGGUAUAGAUUUUUAGAAAUCAAUAAUUGAUUAUUUAUUUGCACUUAUUACAAUGCCUGAAAAAGUGCACCACAUGGAUGUUAAGUAGAAAUUCAAGAAAGUAAGAUGUCUUCAGCAACUCAGUAAAACCUUACGCCACCUUUUGGUUUGUAAAAGGUUUUUUAUACAUUUCAAACAGGUUGCACAAAAGUUAAAAUAAUGGGGUCUUUUAUAAAUCCAAAGUACUGUGAAAACAUUUUACAUAUUUUUUAAAUCUUCUGACUAAUGCUAAAACGUAAUCUAAUUAAAUUUCAUACAGUUACUGCAGUAAGCAUUAGGAAGUGAAUAUGAUAUACAAAAUAGUUUAUAAAGACUCUAUAGUUUCUAUAAUUUAUUUUACUGGCAAAUGUCAUGCAACAAUAAUAAAUUAUUGUAAACUUUGUGGCUUUUGGUCUGUGAUGCUUGGUCUCAAAGGAAAAAAUAAGAUGGUAAAUGUUGAUAUUUACAAACUUUUCUAAAGAUGUGUCUCUAACAAUAAAAGUUAAUUUUAGAGUAGUUUUAUAUUAAUUACCAAACUUUUUCAAAACAAAUUCUUACGUCAAAUAUCUGGGAAGUUUCUCUGUCCCAAUCUUAAAAUAUAAAAUAUAGAUAUAGAAGUUCAUAGAUUGACUCCUUGGCAUUUCUAUUUAUGUAUCCAUUAAGGAUGAGUUUUAAAAGGCUUUCUCUUCAUACUUUUGAAAAAUUUCUUCUAUGAUUACAGUAGCUAUGUACAUGUGUACAUCUAUUUUUCCCAAGCAAUAUGUUUUGGGUUUAGAGUCUGAGUGAUGACCAAGAUUCUGUGUGUUACUACUGUUUGUUUAAUAGGAACAAAUAUAGAAAUAAUAUUAUCUCUUUGCUUAUUUCCCGUUAAAACUAUAAUAAAAUGUUUCUAGGACAGCAUACGUAAAUGCCUGCUAUGCUUUCCUAACAAAAAUGAAAUUUUUCCACAAGUUAAGCAUUUUAGAAACACCUAAAGUGUUUUUCAAAAUGCUGAUCACAGUAAGUCAAAACAAGUGAAUUACCUCACAUCUGCUGGGAGGGUUACAAGUCAGGAUUAUAAAUACUAUGUUUUUAAAAAGAAAAUCAAAUGGCAAAUUCUAUUUUCAAAUAGUAAUUUACUCGUUCACUGAAGAUAAUGCAAAGCACUUUAUUAAAAAUGAGUUCUUUCCAAGAGAGCAUUCCGGAAGAUAACACAUUAAUAUGCAAAAUUGUGUGUGUGUGUGUGUGUGUGUGUGUGUGUGCAUUUUUCUAAGAGGAAUAUUGAUAAUUUUCACGAGAUUUGUAGAGACAGCUAUAACUCCAAAAAAAGUUAUAAACAGAAAAAGGGUUUGCGGAGUAGCAGGAGAAUUGGAGGAAGCCUAACCCAGGCUGGGGACAUACUAGACAAUUCCAUAGAAAUUUUCCCUGUUUCAUUUUCACUGUGCUGUGUUACGGGAGUAUGAAAGAGAAGGCUGUAAAGAGGCCCUCGGCUCCAUAACCCUACUUUCCCAUCCUUAUGAACUGAGCUUUCUUAAUGUUCACUGCGUGUGCUAGAAAUAACUUCCUUCUCCUGAUAGGGCCCAUCAGUGAAAAUCUUUAUUUUCUAUUCAAAAAUUGAAGCACACUUGGAUGCUAAAUGUAGUUCAAGAGUUAAGUGUAUUAUACAUACUCAUAACUAUUUACUCUGCCACUGUUGUUUUCAAUAGGGUACAAAGUAUAUCUUCUCCUCUUUUCACAUUAGCAUGUAUUAAGUUGUUUUCUUGCAGUAUAUUACGUUAUUUUCUGAUUUCAAGGCUGUAACAUGGGAGACAAAUUAAAAAGCAAUUUGGAUGCACUCCACAAUGGUAUGGAGAAUAAUAACACAUCCAGUAGAUUAUCACAAACGUGUCAUCUUUACCAUUCAUGGAGAACAAAAGUUGGAAUCAAUUUAAUUGCAUAAGGAUGAUUUUUAGCUUCAUAAUACAUUCAUUACUUAAUGUGAGGUGAAAAUAAACAUCAGUAGAACAGGGAGGAUUGGUUCAGUUUAGAAAUUUAUGGCACAAGGAUAAACAAAUAUAUCUCAGGACAUCUCACUGUAAUUGAAGAAAUGAAAGCAGCAAAGAUUAAAUAGCUCGUUAAUCAUAUUUGUAUCAUGAGAUCACAGUAAUAACUUUCACUGAGUGUUUACUCUCAGUCAGACAAUUUUCUAAGUGUUUUUUUUGUGUAUUACUAAUACAUCACUUAAUUAGUGCCAUGACAUAAAUGCUAAGGGCAUGUGCGUGUGUAAUAUAGUAAUAAAACUGAAGCACAGAGAGGUGCAGUAACUUGGUCAAUGACACGCAGCUAAUAACUCCAGAAAUCAAAUCCAGGAACUCUGGCCUUCAUUCCCAGCCACUAGACUAUACCGGUUCUUUAGGAGAAACCAAGCUUCUCUUUUUCUUUUAAGUAACGAUACUUCUAUGUUAGUCAGUCAUGAAGACAGGAAGGCCUGGCCUCUGAAGCAUCACUUUUAUCUGACCUGGGUAUGUUUGUCUAUUUAUUUGUUACACGUGCUACAUGGGGAAAGCGUCUUAGUUUAAUAGUUUUAAUUGUAUCAAGGAUGUGCUUAGAUACAGGCUUUCAAGCCUGCAGUUAAAAUAACACUUGUAUUAGCAUCCUGGAACACAAGGCCACACGUAAGCUUUGGGUCUUAGUUUGUUCAUUGAAGGAACUCAGAAACCAUGGAUUCAAUAUUUUAUUCACUCAGUUCAUCCCCUGGCCCACAGCAAAGGGGGAUUUGUCCAGCAGAUAGGAUUUUCUGAGAAAGGGGUCCAGGGUGUAUGGUUGACUAUAUUUUUCUCAUCAUCGGAGGGUAACCAGGGUACGCAAUUGACAUUCCCUUAGAAAGUUUCAUCUGCUAGUAAACUAAUAAUGAAGCCAUGGCCUGAGGAUUGCAUGUUUUUUCAGAGUAUUUAGUUGACCUUUCUAUACUCCACAUGAGGGUUUCUCAGAACAGCCUGUAUGGAUUCCCAGCAGAACAGAUGUGGGGGGCAGGGCAGCAUUUGUAUCUUACCCAUUCAACAAAAAUACAGUAAGCACCCAUAUGUGGGAGCCUCCAUGGCCAGAAUGGAUCCUGGUUCUCCAUAUCAGAAGAACAGGAAAGGUUUUUAAAAGGGGUAUCACACGGUGAGAAGUGUGAUGGGAGUUUAGACAGAAUGCUCUGGAAGCAUAAGGCAGGAAUUAUGUGUGUGUGUGUGUGCGCGCACGCGCGUGUGUUUGUGUUUGUGUGUGCGUGUGUGCUUGUGCAUGUGUGUGUGUGCUUGUGUGUGUCUGUGUCUGUAUGUCUGCGUGUUUGGGGAGUAGCAGGAGAAUUGGAGGAGGCCUAAUCCAGUUGGAGGAGACCCUAGCAAAUUCCACAGAGAAUUUUCCCUGUUUUAAAGUAGGAGUUGGGGGAGUAGAGAGAAAAAUUUUUAUUUCAGCCUAUGCCUAUAGUAUUUGCCAAGACAAGGAGGCAGGAAAGAGUAUUUGAAAAUCUCCAGGCAGUUCAGUCUGACUAGGGGCCUAAGCAUUCCCAGCUAAUAAUUAGGAAGGCAGCCAGGGCCGGGUGCCGUGGCUCACUCCUGUAAGCCCAACACUUUGGGAGGCCGAGGCAGGCAGAUCACUUGCGGUCAAGAGUUCCAGACCAGCCUGGCCAACAUGGUGAAACGCUGUCUCUACUAAAAAAUACAAAAAUUAGCAGGGUGUGGUGGUGCGUGCCCGUAAUCCCAGCUACUUGAGAGGCUGAGGCGUGAGAAUCACUUGAACCUGGGAGGCGGAGGUUGCAGUGAGCCCAGAUCACCCCACUGUACUCCAGCUUGGGCUGCAGAGCGAGACUCCAUCUUGAAAAAAAGAAAGGCAGCUGGGUUUUAAAUGACAAGUGUAAGUAUUAAUUUUAUAUAUUCUGGAGGUAAUAGAGAAACAUUAAAAGUAACAUUUACUGUCUAGCUACUGUGUAUUGGGUCCUAGGAAAAGAUACGGUUAAUAGCUUGAAAAAUAAUCCACCAUCUAGCAGUUGAACUUGGUCAGAUUCUGCAGAACUCUGUAGCUUCACACUGAAUGAAAAGCUAUAGAGGACCUUUGCAGUUCAAUAACAGUGGGCAGCAAUGUGGCAGCUGAAGAUAAAACAGAAGUAAAAGAUUAUGAAGAAAAGCAUUGUGAGGCCCGAUUGUGGAAACAGCAAACUAAUAUAUUGCCCAAUUAAAUAUUUAAGAAAUUGUGACUACACCUGAUCCUUAUAAUGAGUCUUAUUAUUUAACAAGUAUUAUAAAUAAAUGGUUAUAAGCUCUUUUUUUUUGUCUUGAAAAACUCUUCUGCAAACAGUUUCCAGAUAUUUUAAGUGAUUAUCAUGGGUAAUGCAAAUGUGUUCUAUUUCAAUGUCUAUACACAUUGACAGUGGAUAUGGUUCAGCAAAGUACUGGCAAAACUAUGUUACAGAGCUUUGGAAAUAAGCAUCCUGUGCCAGUAAGAUUUAGCAGUGUUGUUGUCGUUGUUGUUGUUUAAAUUAAAAGUGGAUGAGUAAUCAGAAGACUUUUAGUGUAGCUGCUUUCUCCCCUCUGUACUCCUUACACACAAGCAUGCACACACACAUACACACACAUGUGCACGCACACAGUACAGACACAUAAUCCUACUAGAAGCAUAUCAGCUUUUUUCCCUGAGCUUUUGUUUCCUCAUCUGUGGACAAUAGCAUCGUGUUGAGCAAACAACCCCAGACUGAGCCUGGAAUUCUGGGGUUUUUCCCGACCCUGCCUUAGACAAAUUCCUUUUUUAUCUCUGGGUUUCAUCUGUAAGAAAAAAAACAGCUAGACCAGACGGAUGAUGUCUGUGACCUUUAUCAGCUCUUAUAUUCUACAUCAAUGGGAAAUAGCAACUGUGCCACCUUACGUGAUAGGAUUUUUUUCUGGACCAGUUGGUAUUCCAUAUAUGAUAAGAAUUUCUCUUAAGUAUGAUAAAGGCCUAGUUUAAAAGUUUUCAUCUUUAGCCAAUGGUUGCUGAAGGCACAAUGUGAGGAAAAUCAGUUUUUGUAUGUAUAUCUCUGCUUUUUAAUAGCCUGCCUCCGUUCUGGUUGGUUGGUGCCUGUGCCAGGGCUGGCUGGCUGGCAAUAUUUUGACUAUCUCUUCCAUAGCCAAGCAAUGACAGAGUCACUGAGACAAUCUCCACUGUUGGUGAGAAUUGCAUUCAUAUGUAAAGUUUUCAAAAUAGAGAUUCUUGGUCCCAAACUCUCCAGGCAUUGUUUUUAGGACUAGGUAUUUGUACAAAGCUCUACAGUCAGCUAUAAAGAACAUGAGAUAUAUGGAACCAUUUCUUAUGUUACAUUGGCUCUUCUGUUGGUAGCACUUCAUAAUAUAAAGACCAAGAAAGAGGGUUUGAUUUCAUGGCAUUAGUUAGAAUUUGUUUUACCAUAUUAAUUCUGUCAUUAAUUGAAAAUGAUACUGAUAGGGUUUGGCUCAGUGUCCCCUCCCAAAUCUCCUCUUGAAUUGUAAUCCCCACAGGUUGAGGGAGGGACCUGGUGGAAGGUGAUUGGAUCAUGGAGACAGUUUCCCCAAUGCUGUUCUUGUGAUAGUGAGAGAGUUUUCAUGAGAGCUGAUGGUUUAAAAGUGGCAGUUUCCCCUGACCUCCCUCUCUCCUGCCACCAUGUAAGACGUGCCUUGCUUCCCUUUCACCUUCCGCCAUGAUUGCAAGUUUCCUGAGGCCCCCCCCAGCCAUGUGGAACUGUGAGUCAAUUAAACCUCUUUUUUUAUAAAUUACCUAGUCUCAGGUAGUAUCUUUAUAAUAGCGUAAAAACA
rnacentral:lncRNA from 1 species